rnacentral:rRNA from 1 species
UACAGAGGUCCCAAGCGUUGUUCGGAUUCACUGGGCGUAAAGGGUGCGUAGGUGGUCGGGUAAGUCUGAUGUGAAAGCUCGAAGCUUAACUUCGAAAUGGCAUCGGAUACUAUUCGGCUUGAGGAAUGGAGGGGAGACUGGAAUGCUCGGUGUAGCAGUGAAAUGCGUAGAUAUCGAGCGGAACACCAGUGGCGAAGGCGAGUCUCUGGACAUUUCCUGACGCUGAGGCACGAAAGCCAGGGGAGCAAACGGG